AUCUGAGUCCAUUACUAGUCCAAGAUUUCUGGCCUUGUCUGUUGUUUGUAGCAGUGUCGUUUGAAGCUGAGUGCUGACUUUCAACUGUUC